AACGAACGCUGGCGGCAUGCCUAACACAUGCAAGUCGAACGAAGGCUUCGGCCUUAGUGGCGCACGGGUGCGUAACGCGUGGGAAUCUGCCCUUUGGUUCGGAAUAACAGCUGGAAACGGCUGCUAAUACCGGAUGAUGACGAGAGUCCAAAGAUUUAUCGCCAGAGGAUGAGCCCGCGUUGGAUUAGGUAGUUGGUGGGGUAAAGGCCUACCAAGCCGACGAUCCAUAGCUGGUCUGAGAGGAUGAUCAGCCACACUGGGACUGAGACACGGCCCAGACUCCUACGGGAGGCAGCAGUGGGGAAUAUUGGACAAUGGGCGCAAGCCUGAUCCAGCAAUGCCGCGUGAGUGAUGAAGGCCCUAGGGUUGUAAAGCUCUUUUACCCGGGAAGAUAAUGACUGUACCGGGAGAAUAAGCCCCGGCUAACUCCGU
rnacentral:rRNA from 1 species